GGUAAUAUAACUCAGUGGUAGAGCACUUACCUAGCAUGCAUGAGACCCUGGGUUUGAUCCCCAGCACUGCCA
rnacentral:tRNA from 1 species